rnacentral:rRNA from 1 species
GACAGAGGGGGCAAGCGUUGUUCGGAUUCAUUGGGCGUAAAGGGUGCGUAGGCGGCGCGGUAAGUCGGGUGUGAAAUCUUGGAGCUUAACUCCGAAACUGCAUUCGAUACUGCCGUGCUUGAGGACUGGAGAGGAGACUGGAAUUUACGGUGUAGCGGUGAAAUGCGUAGAUAUCGUAAGGAAGACCAGUGGCGAAGGCGGGUCUCUGGACAGUUCCUGACGCUGAGGCACGAAGGCCAGGGGAGCAAACGGG